rnacentral:rRNA from 1 species
GAUGAACGCUGGCGGCGUGCUUAAUACAUGCAAGUCGAGCGAACAGACGCGUUGCUUUCUCCUCGGACUUUAUCGGCGGACGAGUGAUUAGUACGUCGAUAACCUACUUAUACGACUUUCUUAAUUUCGGCAUACCGGAGUUACUACCGCAUAACAUUCUGAACCUCAUGGUUCAUCAGUGUAAGACGGUCUUGCUUUCACUGAUAGAUGGAUCCGCGCCGUAUUAGCUAGUUGGUAAGGUGACGGCUUACCAAGGCAACGAUGCGUAGCCGACCUGAGAGGGUGAUGGGCCACAAUGGAAGUGAGACAAGGUGCAGACGCCUACGGGAGGCAGCAGUAGGGAAUAAUACGCAAUGGGCGGAAGAAGGACGGAGCAACGACGCGUGAGUGAAGAAGGACGUCGGAGCGUAAAGAACUGUUAUUAGGGAAGAACAAAUGUGUAAGUAAUUAUGCACGUGUUGACGGUAGCUAAUCAGGAAGCGACGGCUAACUACGUG